ACCUGCGAGAGGAAGCAGAGGAGAGGAGAGGAGGAGGAGAAGGAGGAGGAGGAGAGGGCAAGCAGAAGUUGGCGAGCUUGGUGGAAAGGGACGGAGGACAAGUUAGAAAGAGAGCUAACUGAGUGACGGAGAGGUUUUGUAGGGGUAGGGUCAGGAGAGGUAAAGGGGAGGAAAAGGGAGUCGGAGGGAGGCAUAUGAGACAUUCCUUCAGUGAACGGGUCGACCGAGUGUGAGUGCAAGCGAGCCGGUAAAAUCGAUGUGGCGAAGUGUAGCUGUGCCACUACGGCGUGCAAAGGGUGUGCUGUACCCUAUACGUGAUCAGUAAUUUGCCUUGUGACGUUGUGUCGUACAGUCAAAUACAUUAUAGUAUUAGGUGUUCAUUUUUAUGUAUCGACCAAAUCAGAUACGUCUAUGUAAUAAAUAUCCACUAUGUAUCUAAGAAAUAUAAAACAAAAUGUUUUUUUCGAAGUAAUAUACGCAUAUGUUCAUUUUUUAAUGCCGCUAACAUGAAUCAAAAGUAGGUAUUAAACUGUAUAUAUUACGGCGGCGUAGUACUCUUUUAUAUAUAACAAUAUGUCUGUGCAUAAAUACAUAUUAUUUAUUACUUCUUCCUCAUUUUCAUUCUUCGCUUAUUUAAUUAUUAUAUUAUUGUUCUUAUAAUAGAUAUAGGAUUUUAAAAAUUAUGUCAAGAAAUUUUUUUACAUGUGUCAUUAUAUUAUGAUAACGUAUUUGAAAACCACUAAGCAUUUGAAAAAUUCUUCUGACGGCAUAUAAAUCUCUCAAUAAAAUUUCGGUAUCGUAAUAAUGAAAUGUCGAAAUUCUCAAUGUUGGCAAAAGAUCUUGUCUGACUUGCAUAGUCGUAUUAAGUAUCGUGUAUUGAGAGUGGCACCUGCCUCGGAAUCAGAAGAACAGAGCGCCCUCGCAGUGAUUCUACUAGUUACGCUCCUGAAAUACGCCGUGCCGACGUGUGUUUCAGCCAGUGCGAGGGCGUAUUAGCGAGAUGUAGACCUAGUGGUGGGGAUUGAAAGAACGAAGCGUACGUAUGAGAUGACGGCUCGACGAACGAACAUAACUGGUCAGACCGGCGGCCUGGCAAGAACGUAUAAUAGGUUUAGGUUGAAUCACGAAGUGUUUCUUGCUAUGUAAUCGCGUUUUUACAGUGUAUAGUGCGGUUCUAUACUAUUUAUCAUAGUGUUUAGUUUUCAUUUUAUUCUCACGAUCGUUUACUAAUUGCUCACAUUUGGAUACAUUAUCAAUACAAUUUGUCGAUUAAAAAUUGUUGUGAUGUCUUAUUUGUGUGUUCAUAGCUAGAAGAAUGUUUUUGAGCGAUUUUAUAUUCGCAUAUCUGUGAUUACUAUGAUACAUAUCUUUUUUGUAAUUUAAUAUGUUAUUGUUAUUUCGUUAUACACAAUUUGAUAUUGUGCGCACUUGAUAUCGUGAUUUGAGAUUAUAUCACUUUUGUUAUUGUUAUCACUUUUAUUACAAUUGCGAACUUUGAUAAAAUUACGAAAUAUCGAAGUGUGGAAACCAUUACUAAAAUAGUGUCAGCGUUUAUGCGUGUCUUCUGUUUUCUGACGGCACAGUUGAACAAGACGACGAAAUAGAAGUAUGUACCUCAUACUAUCGAUGCGAUACUCAGACAAGGAGCAACGUUGCAAUAUUUCGGAUACUGUGACAACAUCGCAUCAACUCAGUGUUUCCAUUUCUCGAUAUGGCGCUGCUACUUAAUACAGAAAUAAGAACUUUAUUAACCUUUCUCAAAUCAGAGUGCAACCGUGAAGGAAUUAGUCUGAUAUACUAUUAGUAAUAUCGAUAAAUGUCUCCAAGUUGGUAAUAAGCUAAUAACGAUGGAAAUCAGUCGGGGGGUGAUGCAGAUGAUAAAGGAAAUAUACGAGAAAACAACAAAUAAUUACGAACAAUACGAAUAACAUUCGGAAAGAGAUUGGCUGAGAAACAACGAAGAUGGGACUGGACAUUCAUUUGACUGUGAAAUUUGUGAUCGACGUUUUAGCAACUGUCGAUUAAGAUAUCAAGAAAAUCUUCAAAUCGUAAAAAAGUUACUUCAAGGAAAAUUAGCUCGGCAUGGCUCUUUUUCAUUACCUGGAAAAGGAGAAUAUAUCUCUUGGACGUGUUCAUCAGCCCGAUGUUACUUCAUAGAAUCGAGAUGUGGCGACAGUAAAAAAAAGGACGAAAUGGCGAUACGAUUGUAUAGAAAUAUUCCAGAUUACACGUGGAGAUUGGAAUCAAGCAUAGCGAGAAUAGGCAUACAGACCAAACAGAGAACCGAUAAGUAUGCAUACUGAUCAUAGUUAAAAUGAAAGAAAACAAUGAUUUAGGAUUUGGCUAAAAGAAGAUUUGAGGGUACAAAAUGGCAAAUCUUUAGAAUGGGAAACAGAGUCUAUUAAAGCUUUAGAAGUAGGAAUAAAGCUACCGCCAUCUGAUCAGGAAUAUGACAUCCUGGAGAAUAAUGAAAACUAAAAAAUGUAAUGGAAAAUAUAUACGAAUAUAUAAAAAGACGUUUAGAUUGUGAUUAGACUACGGAUAUUUAUGCAAAACAUUCUUAUAGAUACAAAUAAAAAAUUGCGAUUUGAAUAGAAGAGUAGUGUCUUGUUCUUCAAAUAUAGUAAUCUUAUAUAUUAUAUUUUUGCAUAUCUACACUUAUCAUAAAUGCAUAUAUAUCUGCAUUUUAGUGAUAACGAAACGUUUAAGCGUCAUAAGUUUUUGAGGAAAUGAAAUAUCGUGUGAAGUAUUCAGUAUUCGAUAACUUUAUCUUACUACUUUUAUUCGCAGAAUAACUUAAGAAAUCAAUUCAUGGAAAAAAUUUUCCAAUUUACAAAAAAUAGUGCAAUUAACAUUUUGAGAAAAAGAUUCUACUACACGAUUAUAGAGCUCGUCAAACAGCACGAAAUUUUCUGUUAAGAUUUUUUCUAACUUCAUUUAGAGGAGGGAUAAUAUAAUUUGGCUGAAAUGUUAGAAUUCAAAAGCAUUAUGUGUUAUGCAUUAUUCCCAAAAUAUAUCAUUCGACGAAAUCAUACAUUUCA